UACGAAGGGGGCUAGCGUUGUUCGGAUUUACUGGGCGUAAAGCGCACGUAGGCGGAUUGUUAAGUCAGGGGUGAAAUCCCAGAGCUCAACUCUGGAACUGCCUUUGAUACUGGCAAUCUCGAGUCCGGAAGAGGUAAGUGGAACUCCUAGUGUAGAGGUGGAAUUCGUAGAUAUUAGGAAGAACACCAGUGGCGAAGGCGGCUUACUGGUCCGGUACUGACGCUGAGGUGCGAAAGCGUGGGGAGCAAACAGG
rnacentral:rRNA from 1 species